GACGUAGGGCGCAAGCGUUGUCCGGAUUUAUUGGGCGUAAAGAGCUCGUAGGCGGCUUGUUGCGUCGACCGUGAAAACCCGUGGCUCAACUGCGGGCUUGCGGUCGAUACGGGCGGGCUAGAGUUCGGUAGGGGAGACUGGAAUUCCUGGCGUAGCGGUGAAAUGCGCAGAUAUCAGGAGGAACACCGGUGGCGAAGGCGGGUCUCUGGGCCGAUACUGACGCUGAGGAGCGAAAGCGUGGGGAGCGAACAGG
rnacentral:rRNA from 1 species